AUCUCAUUUUCUUUGAAUCUUACUUCUUUAUGGAGAUGAAGGUAUGAUGUUUUUCAGGUGAGGUGAGGGGAUUCAUUGGUGCGGUUUUGGUUUAAGAAGGGUGUAGUGGUGGUGAUUUUAACCACCAAGAUCUGAAGUUGAACAACCACCAUCGGAUCUGAAUCGAACCACCACCAUCAUCACUAUGGUCUACGUGCUCAUCCAUGAAAAAAGGUUAUGCAACUGAUCUGGAUACAUUGUGGUUCAAGAAUAACUGUGCAACGAAGACGUAAUGGAUCUGGAUUUGUAGAAGUGAUAGUUACAAACGUAACAUUUUUUCUGCAGUUACAUUUGUUUU
rnacentral:lncRNA from 1 species